UCGAGCGAGUCUGCCUUGAAGAUCGGAGUGCUUGCACUCUGUGAAACAAGAUACAGGCUAGCGGCGGACGGGUGAGUAGCACGUGGGUAACCUGCCCAAGAGAUCGGGAUAACACCUGGAAACAGAUGCUAAUACCGGAUAACAACAGAUGAUGCCUAUCAACUGUUUAAAAGAUGGUUCUGCUAUCACUCUUGGAUGGACCUGCGGUGCAUUAGCUAGUUGGUAGGGUAACGGCCUACCAAGGCGAUGAUGCAUAGCCGAGUUGAGAGACUGAUCGGCCACAUUGGGACUGAGACACGGCCCAAACUCCUACGGGAGGCAGCAGUAGGGAAUCUUCCACAAUGGACGCAAGUCUGAUGGAGCAACGCCGCGUGAGUGAAGAAGGGUUUCGGCUCGUAAAGCUCUGUUGUUGGUGAAGAAGGACAGGGGUAGUAACUGACCUUUGUUUGACGGUAAUCAAUUAGAAAGUCACGGCUAACUACGUGCCAGCAGCCGCGGUAAUACGUAGGUGGCAAGCGUUGUCCGGAUUUAUUGGGCGUAAAGCGAGUGCAGGCGGCUCGAUAAGUCUGAUGUGAAAGCCUUCGGCUCAACCGGAGAAUUGCAUCAGAAACUGUCGAGCUUGAGUACAGAAGAGGAGAGUGGAACUCCAUGUGUAGCGGUGAAAUGCGUAAAUAUAUGGAAGAACACCGGUGGCGAAGGCGGCUCUCUGGUCUGUUACUGACGCUGAGGCUCGAAAGCAUG
rnacentral:rRNA from 1 species